UAUACUGCUUCUAACAGGUGAAUUUAAUUUUAGUUGCUACAUCACAAAGCACGAGCUGCUGUUGCAAUCCACAACUACUCUAUAAUAUACAAUCAUUACUGAUUGAAAUUAACUCUAAAGUCGGAAAUUGUUGUCAGCGAAAUAUGCAAACUAAUGAAGAGUCUACAAAUAAUAUAUUGCAAAAAGCUGCAAUAAAGUUUCCAAUGGAAACAAAUGAGGAUCUGGAACUUUUUGAGAAUUUUUUCUCCAGUCCUGAAAAUUAUUCGGCAUUGAUUUUAUUUUUUUUCCAAACUUGGUGGUAACAAUAUAUACGAAUUCAUUAGGCGUUGCAUCGGGCACCUUGUAACUGAUGGCCUGGCCGAACAAUUUUCCCUUACAGGAAGGAAAGGAAAACUGGUUUUUGAAAAAUUAAAUCUAGCUAAAUCUGUACUAGAAGCUGGGCAAAAGGCACAUGGGAUCAAUGGGAUCACCAGAAAGCAGAUUGAAAAAAAAAUGGCGAUUGGCUACGAAGAGCCAAAGAAAGUAGAUUAAGAACAGAGAAAUUGAAUGUACAAACAUCUUAUGUAACAUUUUUUACUAGGUAUCGGGAAAUAAAACAUUGUUAAACAAAUCAUAGCAUUGUGUAUCAGUUGCUAUACAGGGUGUAUCAACGAUGUGUGGGUGAGCGAUAGGUGCUUCCCUAUUUGAGAUAGGAAAAAAGCCUUAAAUAAAAGUUGUGGAGAUCAGUGAAAUCUAUGUUACAAAAAUAUUUACCCUUAUACAGGGUGUUGGAUAAAUGUGUGACUUAUCAAAGAUAUGUUUUUUUAAAUGGAACACCCUAUAUAUUUUUACUUUAAAAUCUUUUUAAUGAGUUGAUUUCAAUGGUACUUCACACUUACUAUCUAUUGUGAUUAGUUGAGGAUCUACAGCUACUGGAAAUUGUAAAUUUUUCAAAUUCAGGUGGCUGUAGUAGCUAAACCAGUAAAAAUUUUUAAAAACGGCUUUCAUGUCCCUUUCCUAACUUUUCAAGUUCUAUUGAGUGACAUGAAAAAUUAUUUAAUACAGGGUUAUCAAAAAUCGUGUAGGAUUUCGGAUUUUUAUUUUUCGUGUCACUUAAUAGAACUUGAAAAGAUAGGAUAGGGACAUGAAAGCCAUUUUUCGAAAUUUUGGACUGUUUAGCUACUACAGCCACCUGAAUUUGAAAAAUUGACCAUUUCCAGUGGCUGUAGGUCCUCAACUAAUCACAAUAGAUAGAAGUGUGAAGUACCAUUGAAAUCAGCUCAUUGAAAAGAUUUUAAAAAUAUAAAGAUAUAUAGGGUGUUCUAUUUAAAAAAACAUAUCUUUGAUAAGUC